rnacentral:tRNA from 1 species
CAGGGAGACAACAAAAUGUUUAAUAUUAUUAUUUUGUCACCUUAGGUCGAUCGGUAUCUCACGUUUUUAAUUUAUUAAGAAUUUCACUUCCUAAGUUUUUCUAGGUCACACCCAUUAUUUUCCCUGGGCCAUUAGCUCAGGUGGUUAGAGCGCACCCCUGAUAAGGGUGAGGUCCCUGGUUCAAGUCCAGGAUGGCCCAUAUCUCUAUGUUGGGGGUAUAGCUCAGUUGGUAGAGCGCCUGCUUUGCAAGCAGGAUGUCAGCGGUUCGAGUCCGCUUACCUCCACUGAUUACCACCUCUUCCAUAUUUUGUAGAAAAGGAAAUGUUUUGAGUUGUGAUCAAAUUCUGUACGAAUCUAGCUUCCUAAUGAAAUCAUUAAGAUGCUGGACUCAUUGAAUUAAUUUCUUUGUUUUCAGAGAACCUUGACAACUGCAUAGAUUAUUUUUGAAAAGACAAUAAGCAUCUCUAAUGAUGCAGAUUUAUUAUUUGUGCGAAUGCAUUAAAUAACAAUUCUAUUAAGCUGAUGCUUCAUUUUUGAAGUUAUU